rnacentral:rRNA from 1 species
UACGGAAGGUCCGGGCGUUAUCCGGAUUUAUUGGGUUUAAAGGGAGCGCAGGCCGCCCCUUAAGCGUGUUGUGAAAUGCCGCGGCUCAACCGUGGCACUGCAGCGCGAACUGGGGGGCUUGAGUGCGCCGGAGGUAGGCGGAAUUCGUGGUGUAGCGGUGAAAUGCUUAGAUAUCACGAAGAACUCCGAUUGCGAAGGCAGCCUACCGUAGCGUUACUGACGCUGAGGCUCGAAGGUGCG